AUUGAACGCUGGCGGCACGCCUUACACAUGCAAGUCGAACGGUAACAGGUCUUCGGAUGCUGACGAGUGGCGAACGGGUGAGUAAUACAUCGGAACGUGCCCGAGAGUGGGGGAUAACGAGGCGAAAGCUUUGCUAAUACCGCAUACGAUCUCAGGAUGAAAGCGGGGGACCGCAAGGCCUUGCGCUCAUGGAGCGGCCGAUGGCAGAUUAGGUGGUUGGUGGGAUAAAAGCUUACCAAGCCGACGAUCUGUAGCUGGUCUGAGAGGACGACCAGCCACACUGGGACUGAGACACGGCCCAGACUCCUACGGGAGGCAGCAGUGGGGAAUUUUGGACAAUGGGCGCAAGCCUGAUUCAGCCAUGCCGCGUGCAGGAUGAAGGCCUUCGGGUUGUAAACUGCUUUUGUACGGAACGAAAAGACUCUGGUUAAUACCUGGGGUCCAUGACGGUACCGUAAGAAUAAGCACCGGCUAACUACGUGCCAGCCGCCGCCGUAA
rnacentral:rRNA from 1 species